AUUGAACGCUGGCGGCAGGCCUAACACAUGCAAGUCGAACGAGUGGCGGACGGGUGAGUAAUGUCUGGGAAACUGCCUGAUGGAGGGGGAUAACUACUGGAAACGGUAGCUAAUAACGCAUACCAUCAGAUGUGCCCAGAUGGGAUUAGCUUGUGGGGGGGGAAACGGCUCACCAGGGCGACGAUCCCUAGCUGGUCUGAGAGGAUGACCAGCCACACUGGAACUGGGACACGGUCCAGACUCUUACGGGAGGAAGCAGUGGGGAAUAUUGCAAAAUGGGCGCAAGCCUGAUGCAGCAAGGCCGGGUGGAGGAAGAAGGCCUUCGGGUGGUAAAGUACUUUCAGCGGGGAGGCGUUACCCGCAGAAGAAGCACCGGCUAACUCCGUGCCAGCAGCCGCGGUAAUAC
rnacentral:rRNA from 1 species